rnacentral:lncRNA from 1 species
UUUCUUUUCCUUUUCUCAUUCUUUUUUCAUAUUUUCUUUAUUUAUCCUUAGGACCAUUGAUGAUUACAUCCCAUAUACCCAUGGUUUCUCGUGCAAUUUAUCCUUAUGACCAUUAAUGAUUACAUCCCAUAUACCCUUGUCAACAAAGUUGACAUGGAUACACAUACAAGCUUUCAAAUAGCCAUAAAUUUUGCCGUUAAAAAUAGGUGGUCUAUCAUACGACCUAUAAGUUCGGUAACCAUUAUCUAAUAAGAAAAUUGUAAGACCGGAAACAAUCGGAGCUCGUGAUACCAUUUGUUAAACGAUAGGCCUGGAUCUAGAGGGGGGGGGGAGUGGUGAAUAAAUCCCAAGUUAAAAAUUUAUCCGAAAUCUGACUUAGAAAAGUUUAUGAUGCAAAAGCAAGUUUCAAAUAUUUCUCGGAUCAAAAAUUGUCUAAUCGAACCUACUAUUGAAUAGCCCGGAUAUGCGUAAAGGUGUCAAUGUUAUGAUAAUAAUCCAUAAGUCAAUCAAUAAUAAUUAAGCACAACUAAUUGAAUACUCUACAAUAGUAAAAGUCUAUCUCCAAUGAUAUCCACACAUGAAAAACUAAGUCAAAAAAUUUGCCAAAC